rnacentral:rRNA from 1 species
UACGUAGGUGGCAAGCGUUGUCCGGAAUUAUUGGGCGUAAAGCGCGCGCAGGCGGUCCUUUAAGUCUGAUGUGAAAGCCCACGGCUCAACCGUGGAGGGUCAUUGGAAACUGGGGGACUUGAGUGCAGGAGAGAAGAGUGGAAUUCCACGUGUAGCGGUGAAAUGCGUAGAGAUGUGGAGGAACACCAGUGGCGAAGGCGGCGACCUGGACAGUUACUGACACUCAACUACGAAAGCGUGGGGAGCAAACAGG